UACGUAGGGGGCAAGCGUUGUCCGGAAUCAUUGGGCGUAAAGCGCGUGUAGGCGGCCAGGUAAGUCCGUUCUGAAAGCCCGGGGCUCAACCCCGGGAGGCGGAUGGAUACUGCUUGGCUCGAGUCCGGAAGAGGCGAGUGGAAUUCCCGGUGUAGCGGUGAAAUGCGCAGAUAUCGGGAGGAACACCAAUGGCGAAGGCGGCGCUCUGGGCAGGAACUGACGCUGAGGAGCGAAAGCGUGGGGAGCGAACAGG
rnacentral:rRNA from 1 species